UACAGAGGGGGCUAGCGUUGUUCGGAAUUACUGGGCGUAAAGGGCGCGUAGGCGGCCCGCUAAGUCGAACGUGAAAUCCCCGGGCUCAACCCGGGAACUGCGUCCGAUACUGGCAGGCUUGAAUCCGGGAGAGGGAUGCGGAAUUCCAGGUGUAGCGGUGAAAUGCGUAGAUAUCUGGAGGAACACCGGUGGCGAAGGCGGCAUCCUGGACCGGCAUUGACGCUGAGGCGCGAAAGCUAGGGGAGCAAACGGG
rnacentral:rRNA from 1 species